UGGUGGAGUGAUUUGUCUGGUUAAUUCCGUUAACGAACGAGACCUCGACCUGCUAAAUAGUUCCUGAAAUCCAUCUGGAUUUCUUGGAUACUUCUUAGAGGGACUAUCGGUGUGUAGCCGAUGGAAGUUCGAGGCAAUAACA
rnacentral:rRNA from 1 species